rnacentral:sRNA from 1 species
AGUCCAGAAGAGGUCUCAGAGGACCCUGGCUAGAAUUUGGUCAACGAGACAAUCUUUUUCUCCCUCAUACCCCUGCCAGGAUUUGUGUGAGCUUCACCAUCUGGACAUCUCCUAUAAUCGCCUGCAUUUGGUGCCAAGAAUGGGACCCUCAGGGGCUGCUCUGGGGGUCCUGAUACUGCGAGGCAACGAGCUUCGGAGCCUGCAUGGCCUGGAGCAGCUGAGGAAUCUGCGGCACCUGGAUUUGGCAUACAACCUGCUGGAAGGACACCGGGAGCUGUCACCACUGUGGCUGCUGGCUGAGCUCCGCAAGCUCUACCUGGAGGGGAACCCUCUUUGGUUCCACCCUGAGCACCGAGCAGCCACUGCCCAGUACUUGUCACCCCGGGCCAGGGAUGCUGCUACUGUCUUCCUUCUCGAUGGCAAGGUCUUGUCGCUGACAGAUUUUCAGACUCACACAUCCUUGGGGCUCAGCCCCACGGGCCCACCUUUGCCCUGGCCAGUGGGGAGUACUCCUGAAACCUCAGGUGGCCCUGACCUGAGUGACAGCCUCUCCUCAGGGGGUGUUGUGGCCCAGCCCCUGCUUCAUAAGGUUAA